GAGAUAGAGAGAGAGACAGAGAGAGAUCAAGAUAGAGAGAGAGAGACAGAGUGGUGUGGCUUUGGAAGUUUGAUGAUGUUUAUUUAUUGGUUAAUUUAAGGGAAAACUUCAAAAACCCCCCCUGUGGUUUCGUGCAUUCUCACUUUGCUACCCUGUGGUUUAAAACGUAUCAAUUUACCCCCAUGUGGUUUCAUUUUUAUCUUUUCGGAAGCUUUUUCGUUAAUAUUUCGUUAAAUUAUAUACAAAAAACUUCAGAUAACCAUCUAUAUUUAUCGAAUAGUCACUUUAGUAUUCUUUAAUUUUAACUUUGUCACUGAUUUUAAAAAAAAAAAAUAAUAAAAUUGAUAACAAAAAGAUAAAAACGAAACCACAGGGGAGCAAAUUGAUACGUUUUAAACCACAGAGUAGCAGAGUGAGAAUGCACGAAACCACAUGGGGAGUUUUUGAAGUUUUUCCUUAAUUUAAUGUGCUUUAAUAAA
rnacentral:lncRNA from 1 species